rnacentral:rRNA from 1 species
UACGGGGGGGGCAAGCGUUGUUCGGAAUUACUGGGCGUAAAGGGCGCGUAGGCGGCCUGCUAAGUCGGAUGUGAAAUCCCUCGGCUCAACCGGGGAACUGCAUCCGAUACUGGCGGGCUUGAAUCCGGGAGAGGGAUGUGGAAUUCCAGGUGUAGCGGUGAAAUGCGUAGAUAUCUGGAGGAACACCGGUGGCGAAGGCGGCGAU